rnacentral:rRNA from 1 species
AACGAACGCUGGCGGCAUGCCUAACACAUGCAAGUCGAACGAGACCUUCGGGUCUAGUGGCGCACGGGUGCGUAACGCGUGGGAACCUGCCCUUAGGUUCGGAAUAACUCCCCGAAAGGGGUGCUAAUACCGGAUAAUGUCUUCGGACCAAAGAUUUAUCGCCUUUGGAUGGGCCCGCGUUGGGUUAGCUAGUUGGUAGGGUAAAAGCCUACCAAGGUGACGAUCCAUAGCUGGUCUGAGAGGAUGAUCAGCCACACUGGGACUGAGACACGGCCCAGACUCCUACGGGAGGCAGCAGUGGGGAAUAUUGGACAAUGGGCGAAAGCCUGAUCCAGCAAUGCCGCGUGAGUGAUGAAGGCCUUAGGGUUGUAAAGCUCUUUUACCCGGGAUGAUAAUGACAGUACCGGGAGAAUAAGCUCCGGCUAACUCCGUG